rnacentral:rRNA from 1 species
CCUACGGGAGGCAGCAGUGAGGAAUAUUGGUCAAUGGGCGCAGGCCUGAACCAGCAAAGUCGCGUGAGGGAAGACUGCCCUAUGGGUUGUAAACCUCUUUUAUAAGGGAAGAAUAAUGACUACGUGUAGUCAGAUGCCCGUACCUUAUGAAUACGCAUCGGCUAACACCUUGACAGCAGCCGCGGUAACACGGAGGAUGCGAGCGUUAUCGGGAUUUAUUGGGGUUAACGGGUGCGUAGGGGGUAUGUUAAGUUGGUGGUAAAACGUCGGGGCUAAACCUUGAUUGGCCAUUAAAACUGGAGUACUAGAGUACAGACGAGGUAGGCGGAAUAAGUUAAGUAGCGGUGAAAUGCUUAGAUAUAACGUAGAACACUGAUAGCGAAGGCAGCUUACCAGAAUGUUACUGACGCUGAAGCACGAGAGCGUGGGUAGCGAACAGGAUUAGAUACCCCAGUAGUC